AGGAUGAACGCUGGCGGCGUGCCUAACACAUGCAAGUCGAACGCCUGUAGCAAUACAGGAGUGGCGCACGGGUGAGUAACGCGUGGGAACCUACCCUGGAGUGGGGGAUAACCGAGGGAAACUUCGGCUAAUACCCCAUACGACCUGAGGGUGAAAGAUUUAUCGCUCUAGGAGGGGCCCGCGUCGGAUUAGCUAGUUGGUGAGGUAACGGCCCACCAAGGCGAUGAUCCGUAGCUGGUCUGAGAGGAUGAUCAGCCACACUGGGACUGAGACACGGCCCAGACUCCUACGGGAGGCAGCAGUGGGGAAUAUUGGACAAUGGGGGCAACCCUGAUCCAGCAAUGCCGCGUGAGUGAUGAAGGCCUUAGGGUUGUAAAGCUCGUUUCGGCGGGGACGAUGAUGACGGUACCGCAGAAGAAGCCCCGGCUAACUUCGUGCCAGCAGCCGC
rnacentral:rRNA from 1 species